ensembl:lncRNA
AUGAGAUUUCUGGUCAUGGCCUUUGUCUUGAUUCUUCUCUUUCUUAACACAGGAGACAGUGAGGAUCCACUGCCCAUAUACUUCAGUGCUCCCGAGUCCCUGCAGCAUCACCUCUUCUCGGUUUUCUCUGAUGCAUGGGCUACUGCUGCCACAUUUUAUUCUGUUCUCCUCUACGGUGGACAAACAUACUUUGAGCUCAGGCACUUGCCUGUGGCCAGAUUCAUAGGAGAGGUCUGUAGUGGGCACAGAGCACAAAGACCAGACUCAGUUCCUCUGAAACUGUGGGACAUAAUAGCCCCCAAUCUGGAGUACGAUGAGCCAAACCGUACAACUAUGGAGUCGCUGGUAGAGUGCAUGGAAAACUGUGGGAGUACCUUGGGGCAAGAUCUGGACAAGCUGCAUGAGGUCAUGAGUCAGUUCUCUCCCAUCCAUGAGGAAGACAUCAUAAGGGUAAUUGUCAAAGCUUUCCUCAGCAUUGAGCACAGAGCAUCUUGUGUGCUUUACACACAGGCAAAACACCAUACCACACACUUCUUAGGUGCUGUAAGUCCAUGCCUUUAACAGUUGCAGGGGAUCAACAGGAGCACAAAACCCACCUGCCAUGCCAUAGCUGGCUGCCAGGUCACCGGGCAGCCUAUUUACAGGUGUGUUUGUGGGAAGCCAGUUUGACACACUGAUCAUCAGUUCUGGCUUCGUCUGCAGCUUGCCUCAUCACUGCUGAACCUCCAAGUGUAGGAAAGCUGCACUUGGCUAGGCUUAAAGCAAUCACAUCUUGUUUGUUUGGCUUUGUAGAAACAAAGGGUCAGAGACAGAGUUGCUGGUCCUGUGUAUUUAUGGGAUGUAUAGGAGCGUUGCCUUGUAUUCACAUGGAAUGCAUUUGGCUUGAAUUCAAGUGCCCACUUAGCAGACUUGAUAGUUGACUCCACAGGUUGGUUUCAGACAUGAAGAAAAAAUUUGUGAUUUUGCUUUUCAGUUUUAACCUAAAAGUGAUGGCUUUGCACCACUGAGAUAUAUUUUAAGUCUGUGUUAGCAUGUCCAUGUUGCUGCAGCAGCAUUUCACUGCAGGCUUUUUGCUUGGGGAAUGAAAGGCCAUCUGUAGGCCUUCAGCUUCCAGGAUCUCAGAGGCCAGUGAGGCACUGCACAGGGUGCCCAGAGAAGUUGUGGAUACGCCAUCCCUGGAGGCAUUCAAGGCCAGACUGGGUAGGGCCCUGAGCAGCCUGAUCUAGUGGGUGGCAGCCCUGCCCACAGCAGGGGGUUGGAACUAGAUGAUCUUUAAGGUCCCCUCCAACCUAAGCCAUUCCAUGAUUCUAUCAUCUGCACUGCGGAAACCCGACUUUCUUGGCAUCAUUGCAUCUCAAAGGUAAACAAGCACUACCUGAUUUAAACAUGGGAGUAGUCUACCUAGAAGAAAGUAAGCAAAGAUAAUAACUAAGAUUAGUGAUGGUUUAUUUAUGUUUCUUCUCCUUUUUAUUGUACAGGGCUACCUGGACAGCAGAGGUAUGAACUAGUUUUCUCAUAACAUGCAUGAGAAACGUCUGUGGCAAGAGAGCUUUCUUGACAG